AGAUGCCUUAAAAAGCCAAGGAGGACAGAGGAGUCAGUAGGACCCAGCAGCGCCUGCAGCCUGAGCACUGGGUGAAGCCAUGGCCAGCAAGGGGAGCAAGGACCUGAAGCAGCAGGUGGAAGGCACUGUUACUGAUGCUGUGGCAGCAGCCGGUGGAGCAGGUCAAGAACAACCCAGUGAGGGAGGACAGAAAGGCACCGCAGCCGCCCCUGCCGGCCCCGCCGCUGCCCCCGCCGCAGCCCUGGCCGCUGACCAGGGCAAGCUGGGCCCCCAGAAGUGACGGGAGAUCCGGACACCUCCCUCUAGGCUCCACCGGCAGAACCGGGCCCUGAGCGCCUGUCAGGCCGCUCCCCACUCCAUCUGCCCUAAUUAAAGCUCGUCUUUCCGGGUUGGGAGGGGGGGAGGGUGGCUCGGGUGGCAGAGCGCCAACGAGUGAGCCUGCGUCCGAUGCCGAGAUCGAGUCCGGGUCUUCGACAAAAAAAAGACAUAAAGUUCCAUUUCCAGUUCCUUGUCCGCGGAGGUGAUUUCUUGACACGGGCCC